AGUGAACGCUGGCGGUAGGCCUAACACAUGCAAGUCGAACGGCAGCACAGUAAGAGCUUGCUCUUACGGGUGGCGAGUGGCGGACGGGUGAGGGAUACAUCGGAAUCUACUUUUUCGUGGGGGAUAACGUAGGGAAACUUACGCUAAUACCGCAUACGACCUACGGGUGAAAGCAGGGGAUCUUCGGACCUUGCGCGAUUGAAUGAGCCGAUGUCGGAUUAGCUAGUUGGCGGGGUAAAGGCCCACCAAGGCGACGAUCCGUAGCUGGUCUGAGAGGAUGAUCAGCUACACUGGAACUGAGACACGGUCCAGACUCCUACGGGAGGCAGCAGUGGGGAAUAUUGGACAAUGGGCGCAAGCCUGAUCCAGCCAUACCGCGUGAGUGAAGAAGGACUUCGGGUUGUAAAGCCCUUUUGUUGGGAAAGAAAAGCAGCAGGUUAAUACCCCGCUGUUCUGACGGUACCCAAAGAAUAAGCACCGGCUAACUUCGUG
rnacentral:rRNA from 1 species